rnacentral:pre_miRNA from 1 species
GCAACUGCUAGGCUGUGCUCUUCUUAUCUUUGAAAGUGCUAGCAAUUUUUAUAGCGAUUUUGUAUAAGUUGUUCGCACUUAUAAAGAAAAAGAAAAGAUAAAGCUCAAGCAAAUCGCUGCAGAAAUUGCGAGCACUUCAAAGAGAAGAAGAGCACAUUGUGGCAGAAAUUGU